ACGGGUGGCUGCAGUGGGGAAUAUUGGGCAAUGGGCGCAAGCCUGACCCAGCAACGCCGCGUGAAGGAAGAAGGCUUUCGGGUUGUAAACUUCUUUUCUGGGGGACGAACAAAUGACGGUACCCCAGGAAUAAGCCACGGCUAACUACGUGCCAGCAGCCGCGGUAAUACGUAGGUGGCAAGCGUUAUCCGGAUUUAUUGGGUGUAAAGGGCGUGUAGGCGGGAAUGCAAGUCAGAUGUGAAAACUAUGGGCUCAACCCAUAGCCUGCAUUUGAAACUGUAUUUCUUGAGUGCUGGAGAGGCAAUCGGAAUUCCGUGUGUAGCGGUGAAAUGCGUAGAUAUACGGAGGAACACCAGUGGCGAAGGCGGAUUGCUGGACAGUAACUGACGCUGAGGCGCGAAAGCGUGGGGAGCAAACAGGAUUAGAUACCC
rnacentral:rRNA from 1 species